GGCGACCGGCGCACGGGUGAGUAACACGUAUCCAACCUGCCGAUAACUCGGGGAUAGCCUUUCGAAAGAAAGAUUAAUAUCCGAUAGCAUAUCAAUCCCAUGAGAUUGAUAUUAAAGAAUUUCGGUUAUCGAUGGGGAUGCGUUCCAUUAGUUUGUUGGCGGGGUAACGGCCCACCAAGACUACGAUGGAUAGGGGUUCUGAGAGGAAGGUCCCCCACAUUGGAACUGAGACACGGUCCAA
rnacentral:rRNA from 1 species